rnacentral:rRNA from 1 species
CGGGAAUUUUGGGCAAUGGGCGAAAGCCUGACCCAGCAACGCCGCGUGAGGGAUGAAGUAUUUCGGUAUGUAAACCUCGAAAGAAUGGGAAGAAUAAAUGACGGUACCAUUUAUAAGCUCCGGCUAACUACGUGCCAGCAGCCGCGGUAAUACGUAGGGAGCAAGCGUUGUUCGGAUUUACUGGGCGUAAAGGGCGCGUAGGCGGCGCGGUAAGUCACUUGCGAAAUCUCUGAGCUUAACUCAGAACGGCCAAGUGAUACUGCUGUGCUAGAGUGCGGAAGAGGCAACCGGAAUUCUUGGUGUAGCGGUGAAAUGCGUAGAUAUCAAGAGGAACACCUGAGGCGAAGGCGGGUUGCUGGGCCGACACUGACGCUGAUGCGCGAAAGCCAGGGGAGCAAACG